rnacentral:rRNA from 1 species
GGCGGCGUGCUUACACAUGCAAGUCGAGCGAGAACGCGGGUCUUCGGAUCCGUUAGUACAGCGGCGAACGGGUGAGUAUCACGUGAGUAACGUGCCCUGGGGUGGGGGAUAACAGUGCGAAAGCGCUGCUAAUACCGCAUAAGCUCACGACAUCUGCGGGUGAAGUGAGAAAAGGGGGCCUCUGAUAUAAGCUCCUGCCCUUGGAUCGGCUCGCGCCCCAUUAGCUUGUUGGUGAGGUAAUGGCUCACCAAGGCUACGAUGGGUAGCUGGUCUGAGAGGAUGAUCAGCCACACUGGAACUGAGACACGGUCCAGACUCCUACGGGAGGCAGCAGUGGGGAAUCUUGCGCAAUGGGCGAAAGCCUGACGCAGCAACGCCGCGUGUGUGAUGAAGGCCUUCGGGUUGUAAAGCACUGUCAAGAGGGAAGAAAUGCCGUUGGCUAAUACCCAGUGGCUAUGACGGUACCUCUGAAGGAAGCACCGGCUAACUCCGUGCCAGCAGCCGCGGCAAUACGGAGGGUGCGAGCGUUGUUCGGAAUCAUUGGGCGUAAAGCGCGUGUAGGCGGGGAUGCAAGUCAGGUGUGAAAGCCCGGGGCUUAACCUCGGAAUGGCGCCUGAAACUGCGUCUCUUGAGUACGGGAGGGGGAAGCGGAAUUCUUGGUGUAGGGGUGAAAUCCGUAGAUAUCAGGAGGAACACCGAUGGCGAAGGCAGCUUCCUGGACCGAUACUGACGCUGAGACGCGAAAGCGUGGGGAGCAAACAGGAUUAGAUACCCUGGUAGUCCACGCCGUAAACGAUGUUCACUAGGUGCUGCGGGUAUUGACCCCUGCGGUGCCGUAGCUAACGCAUUAAGUGAACCGCCUGGGGA